rnacentral:rRNA from 2 species
UGGGGAAUAUUGGACAAUGGGCGCAAGCCUGAUCCAGCCAUGCCGCGUGAGUGAUGAAGGCCCUAGGGUUGUAAAGCUCUUUCAACGGUGAAGAUAAUGACGGUAACCGUAGAAGAAGCCCCGGCUAACUUCGUGCCAGCAGCCGCGGUAAUACGAAGGGGGCUAGCGUUGUUCGGAUUUACUGGGCGUAAAGCGCACGUAGGCGGAUUGUUAAGUUAGGGGUGAAAUCCCAGGGCUCAACCCUGGAACUGCCUUUAAUACUGGCAAUCUCGAGUCCGGAAGAGGUGAGUGGAAUUCCGAGUGUAGAGGUGAAAUUCGUAGAUAUUCGGAGGAACACCAGUGGCGAAGGCGGCUCACUGGUCCGGUACUGACGCUGAGGUGCGAAAGCGUGGGGAGCAAACAGG